rnacentral:rRNA from 1 species
AAUGAACGCUGGCGGCGUGCUUAACACAUGCAAGUCGAACGAGAACACUCCAGCUUGCUGGGGUAAGUAAAGUGGCGCACGGGUGAGUAACACGUGGGUAACCUGCCUUCGAAUUGGGGAUAACGUUGCGAAAGUGACGCUAAUACCGAAUAAUAUCCAAUUUUCUUCGGAAGAUUGGAUCAAAGGUGGCCUCUGAAUGUAAGCUACUGUUUGAAGAUGGGCCCGCGUACCAUUAGCUUGUUGGUGGGGUAACGGCCUACCAAGGCAACGAUGGUUAGCUGGUCUGAGAGGAUGAUCAGCCACACUGGAACUGACACACGGUCCAGACUCCUACGGGAGGCAGCAGUGAGGAAUUUUGCGCAAUGGGGGAAACCCUGACGCAGCAACGCCGCGUGAGUGAUGAAGGCCUUCGGGUCGUAAAGCUCUGUCAAGUGGAAAGAAACUAUAUAAUGCGAAUACCAUUAUAUAUUGACGGUACCACUGAAGGAAGCACCGGCUAACUCCGUGCCAGCCGCCGCCGUAAUAC